AGCAUAGUGGUCAGAGCGUUGGUGAGUAAAGCCAAAUGUCCGGGUUCGAUUCCCGG
rnacentral:tRNA from 1 species